rnacentral:ncRNA from 1 species
UAACGUUUCUUAAGACUCCCGUUAACCGAGACCUAUGGGAGGAUAAAUUACGUCUCUCAUACCCACACUGGAGGGUGGUGUGGGAAUAAUGUAUCAU